GACGAACGCUGGCGGCGUGCUUAACACAUGCAAGUCGAACGGAAAGGCCUUUUCGGAGGUACUCGAGUGGCGAACGGGUGAGUAACACGUGGGUGAUCUGCCCUGCACUCUGGGAUAAGCCUGGGAAACUGGGUCUAAUACCGGAUAGGACCGCACUCCAGUGUGUGUGGUGGAAAGUUUUUUCGGUGUAGGAUGAGCCCGCGGGCUAUCAGCUUGUUGGUGGGGUAAUGGGCUACCAAGGCGGCGACGGGUAGCCGGACUGAGAGGUUGGUCGGCCACAUUGGGACUGGUGAUCGGCCCAGACUCCUAAGGGAGGGAAGAAGGGGGAAUAUUGCACAAUGGGCGGAAGCCUGAUGCAGCGAAGCCGCGUGGGGGAUGACGGCCUUCGGGUUGUAAACUCCUUUCGCCAGGGACGGAGCGUUUUGUGACGGUACCUGGAGAAGAAGCACCGGCUAACUACGUG
rnacentral:rRNA from 1 species